rnacentral:rRNA from 1 species
UACGAAGGGGGCUAGCGUUGCUCGGAAUCACUGGGCGUAAAGCGCACGUAGGCGGCUUUUUAAGUCAGGGGUGAAAUCCUGGAGCUCAACUCCAGAACUGCCUUUGAUACUGAGAAGCUUGAGUCCGGGAGAGGUGAGUGGAACUGCGAGUGUAGAGGUGAAAUUCGUAGAUAUUCGCAAGAACACCAGUGGCGAAGGCAGCACUCGGGGACGUGACUGACGCUGAGACGCGAAAGCGUGGGGAGCAAACAGG